GUACUACUGAAGAGUCCCAAAAUAGAACAAAACAGCUGUUCAGUAC
rnacentral:hammerhead_ribozyme from 1 species